rnacentral:rRNA from 1 species
CAAGGUCUCCGUUGGUGAACCAGCGGAGGGAUCAUUGCUGGAACGCGCCUCGGCGCACCCAGAAACCCUUUGUGAACUUAUACCUUACUGUUGCCUCGGCGCAGGCCGGCCUCCCUGGAGGCCCCUCUGAGAGGAGGAGCAGCCCGCCGGCGGCCAACUAAACUCUUGUUUCUUAGUGAAUCUCUGAGUAAAAAACAUAAUGAAUCAAAACUUUCAACAACGGAUCUCUUGGUUCUGGCAUCGAUGAAGAACGCAGCGAAAUGCGAUAAGUAAUGUGAAUUGCAGAAUUCAGUGAAUCAUCGAAUCUUUGAACGCACAUUGCGCCCUCUGGUAUUCCGGAGGGCAUGCCUGUUCGAGCGUCAUUUCAACCCUCAAGCACUGCUUGGUGUUGGGGCACCGCCUGUAAAAGGGCGGGCCCUGAAAUCUAGUGGCGAGCUCGCCAGGACCCCGAGCGUAGUAGUUAUAUCUCGUUCUGGAAGGCCCUGGCGGUGCCCUGCCGUUAAACCCCCAACUUCUGAAAUUUUGACCUCGGAUCAGGUAGGAAUACCCGCUGAACUUAAGCA